rnacentral:rRNA from 1 species
GACGAACGCUGGCGGCGUGCCUAAUACAUGCAAGUAGAACGCUGAAGGAGGAGCUUGCUUCUCUGGAUGAGUUGCGAACGGGUGAGUAACGCGUAGGUAACCUGCCUGGUAGCGGGGGAUAACUAUUGGAAACGAUAGCUAAUACCGCAUAAGAGUAGAUGUUGCAUGACAUUUGCUUAAAAGGUGCAAUUGCAUCACUACCAGAUGGACCUGCGUUGUAUUAGCUAGUUGGUGGGGUAACGGCUUACCAAGGCGACGAUACAUAGCCGACCUGAGAGGGUGAUCGGCCACACUGGGACUGGGAAACGGCCCAGACUCCUACGGGAGGCAGCAGGAGGGAAUCUUCGGCAAUAGACGGAAGGCUGACCGAGCAACGCCGGGUGAGUGAAGAAGGGUGUCGGAUCGUAAAGCUCUGUUGUAAGAGAAGAACGAGUGUGAGAGUGGAAAGUUCACACUGUGACGGUAUCUUAUCAGAAAGGGACGGCUAACUACGUG